GUUGAACGCUGGCGGCAUGCCUUACACAUGCAAGUCGAACGGCAGCACGGGGCAACCUGGUGGCGAGUGGCGAACGGGUGAGUAAUGCAUCGGAACGUACCUUUCAGUGGGGGAUAACGUAGCGAAAGUUACGCUAAUACCGCAUAUUCUGUGAGCAGGAAAGCAGGGGAACGCAAGACCUUGCGCUGAUUGAGCGGCCGAUGUCAGAUUAGCUAGUUGGUGAGGUAAAGGCUCACCAAGGCGACGAUCUGUAGCGGGUCUGAGAGGAUGAUCCGCCACACUGGAACUGAGACACGGUCCAGACUCCUACGGGAGGCAGCAGUGGGGAAUUUUGGACAAUGGGGGCAACCCUGAUCCAGCCAUGCCGCGUGAGUGAAGAAGGCCUUCGGGUUGUAAAGCUCUUUCGGCCGGGAAGAAAUCGCACGGGCUAAUACCCUGUGUGGAUGACGGUACCGGAAUAAGAAGCACCGGCUAACUACGUGCCAGCCGCCGCAGUAAUAC
rnacentral:rRNA from 1 species